rnacentral:rRNA from 1 species
CACGUAGGGGGCGAGCGUUGUCCGGAUUUAUUGGGCGUAAAGAGCUCGUAGGCGGCUAAGUAAGUCAGGUGUGAAAACUCCAGGCUCAACCUGGAGACGCCACCUGAUACUGCUUUGGCUAGAGUCCGGUAGGGGAGCAUGGAAUUCCUGGUGUAGCGGUGAAAUGCGCAGAUAUCAGGAGGAACACCAGUGGCGAAGGCGGUGCUCUGGGCCGGAACUGACGCUGAGGAGCGAAAGCGUGGGGAGCGAACAGG